GACGAACGCUGGCGGCGUGCUUAACACAUGCAAGUCGAACGGAAAGGCCUCUUUCGGGGGUUCCUCGGUUGGCAACGGGGGAAUUAAACGGGAGUAAACUUCCCCUUACUUUGGGGUUAAUUUAGGAAACCUGGGGCAAUUACCGGUAGGGAGCCCUUGCGGCAGGGUGGGGGUGGGAAGGUUUCGGGGGUUGGGGAUGGACUCGCGGCUUUUCAGCUUGUUGGUGGGGUAGUGGCUUACCAAGGCUUUGACGGGUAGCCGGCCUGAGAGGGUGACCGGCCACAUUGGGACUGAGAUACGGCCCAGACUCCUACGGGAGGCAGCGGUGGGGAAUAUUGCACAAUGGGUGGAAGCCUGAUGCAGCAACGCCGUGUGCGGGAUGACGGCCUUCGGGUUGUAAACCGCUUUCGCUCAUGACGAAGCUUUGUGUGACGGUAGUGGGUAAAGAAGCACCGGCUAACUACGUG
rnacentral:rRNA from 1 species